rnacentral:rRNA from 1 species
CCUACGGGAGGCAGCAGUGGGGAAUAUUGGACAAUGGGGGGAACCCUGAUCCAGCGACGCCGCGUGAGUGAAGAAGUAUUUCGGUAUGUAAAGCUCUAUCAGCAGGGAAGAAAAUGACGGUACCUGACUAAUAAGCCCCGUCUAACUACGUGCCAGCAGCCGCGGUAAAACGUAGGGGGCAAGCGUUAUCCGGAUUUACUGGGUGUAAAGGGAGCGUAGACGGUGCAGCAAGUCUGAUGUGAAAGGUCGGAGGCGAACCCCGGGACUGCAUUGGAAACUGUUGAACUGGAGUACAGGAGAGGUAAGCGGAAUUCCUAGUGUAGCGGUGAAAUGCGUAGAUAUUAGGAGGAACACCAGUGGCGAAGGCAGCAUACUGGACUGUAACUGACGUUGAGGCUCGAAAGCGUGGGGAGCGAACAGGAUUAGAUACCCUUGUAGUC